AACUGCGAGUGAAGCGGGAAAAGCUCAAAUUUAAAAUCUGGUGGUCUUUUGGUCAUCCGAGUUGUAAUUUAGAGAAGCGUCUUCCGCGCCGGACCGUGCACAAGUCUCCUGGAAUGGAGCGUCAUAGAGGGUGAGAAUCCCGUCUUUGGCAUGGACACCCGGGGCUUCUGUGAUGCGCUCUCGAAGAGUCGAGUUGUUUGGGAAUGCAGCUCAAAAUGGGUGGUGAACUCCAUCUAAAGCUAAAUAUUGGCGAGAGACCGAUAGCGAACAAGUACCGUGAGGGAAAGAUGAAAAGCACUUUGGAAAGAGAGUGAAACAGUACGUGAAAUUGUUGAAAGGGAAACGCUUGAAGUCAGUCGCGUUGACUGAGACUCAGCCUUGCCUCGGCUUGGCGUACUUCUCGGCUGACGGGCCAGUAUCAAUUUUGUCCCUCGGAUAAUGGCAAGGGAAAGGUGGCACCUUUACCGGUGUGUUAUAGUCUCUUGUCGCAUGCGAGGGGCGGGAUUGAGGAACUCAGCACGCACCUUUUGGUGUCGGGGCCUU
rnacentral:rRNA from 1 species